ACAGUCCAACAACAAAUUAAGAGACUAUGUUUGGGAUCCAACAACAAAUUAAGAGACUAUGUUUGGGAUCCGCAUUGAUAAAUACGACUUGGGAGAGCAAAUUGGACUUAUGCAACCUGUUGAGAAAAUUAUGUUUGUAGCAUUGGUGCUUUCAUUGCUUGUACUCCAUGGUUGAAGACUACCUCAAAAUUUCUUGCCAUACCCCAGCUGCAACUGUGUUGGAUCGCUUCAGCUGUGUUUCCGACCCAACCGUAUGGAUUUAUCAGACAGAGCGCUACUUCAAUUUUAAUGGAUUUUCUAAGGAUAUGUGGUUUACUCUUCCUUACCUGUAUUUUGACAGGGAAGACCUCGCCUGGUUUAAUUGGUUGUAUCGCAAUAAGCAAUUCUAUUACCGGAAGCAUUUCACUAAUAAAUUGGCAUGCCAUUACCUCCAGCAAAUUGUUAUAGAACUUGAAUUGCCUUCCUUAACUGAUUUAUUGCUGUGAAUGUAAAUUUAUGUAUGCAUCGGAGGUUUUAACUAAA